AUUGAACGCUGGCGGCAUGCCUUACACAUGCAAGUCGAACGGUAACAGGUCUUCGGAUGCUGACGAGUGGCGAACGGGUGAGUAAUACAUCGGAACGUGCCUAGUAGUGGGGGAUAACUACUCGAAAGAGUGGCUAAUACCGCAUGAGAUCUACGGAUGAAAGCAGGGGAUCGCAAGACCUUGUGCUACUAGAGCGGCCGAUGGCAGAUUAGGUAGUUGGUGGGAUAAAAGCUUACCAAGCCGACGAUCUGUAGCUGGUCUGAGAGGACGAUCAGCCACACUGGGACUGAGACACGGCCCAGACUCCUACGGGAGGAAGCAGUGGGGAAUUUUGGACAAUGGGCGAAAGCCUGAUCCAGCAAUGCCGCGUGCAGGAUGAAGGCCUUUGGGUUGUAAACUGCUUUUGUACGGAACGAAAAGCCCCGGGUUAAUACCCUGGGGUCAUGACGGUACCGUAAGAAUAAGCACCGGCUAACUACGUGCCAGCAGCCGCCGUAA
rnacentral:rRNA from 1 species